rnacentral:ncRNA from 2 species
UCCGCGUCACGCGACUGGCGGCAUCGAGGAUGGACCACCAUCGGGGAGCUCGUCGUGGGCGCCGUCCGCCUGGGUGCCCACG